GGGGGGAGGCCGGAUCCUGGGCUGUGUCCCCGGAGCCCUGUGCUCUCGGGCCUGCGCUGUUGGUUUCGUGCUCCCGGUGGCGCAGCCGCCU
rnacentral:pre_miRNA from 1 species